rnacentral:rRNA from 1 species
GACGAACGCUGGCGGCGUGCUUAACACAUGCAAGUCGAACGGAAAGGCCCUGCUUUUGUGGGCUGCUCGAGUGGCGAACGGGUGAGUAACACGUGAGUAACCUGCCCUUGACUUUGGGAUAACUUCAGGAAACUGGGGCUAAUACCGGAUAGGAGCUCCUGCUGCAUGGUGGGGGUUGGAAAGUUUCGGCGGUUGGGGAUGGACUCGCGGCUUAUCAGCUUGUUGGUGGGGUAGUGGCUUACCAAGGCUUUGACGGGUAGCCGGCCUGAGAGGGUGACCGGCCGCAUUGGGACUGAGAUACGGCCCAGACUCCUACGGGAGGCAGCAGUGGGGAAUAUUGCACAAUGGGCGGAAGCCUGAUGCAGCAACGCCGCGUGCGGGAUGACGGCCUUCGGGUUGUAAACCGCUUUCGCCUGUGACGAAGCGUGAGUGACGGUAAUGGGUAAAGAAGCACCGGCUAACUACGUG